UGUUGCCUACGGGGGGCAGCAGUAGGGAAUCUUCCACAAUGGGCGAAAGCCUGAUGGAGCAACGCCGCGUGGGUGAAGAAGGUUUUCGGAUCGUAAAACCCUGUUGUUAGAGAAGAAAGUGCGUGAGAGUAACUGUUCACGUUUCGACGGUAUCUAACCAGAAAGCCACGGUUAACUACGUGCCAGCAGCCGCGGUAAUACGUAGGUGGCAAGCGUUAUCCGGAUUUAUUGGGUGUAAAGGGAACGCAGGCGGUCUUUUAAGUCUGAUGUGAAAGCCUUCGGCUUAACCGGAGCAGUGCAUUGGG
rnacentral:rRNA from 1 species